AGAAAACAUCACAAAGCAAUCUAUGGACGUUAUUGAGAGAGCAUGAUACACUACUCAAGUUGAAAAAGCUAGAUGUCAACAAAGUACAAUAUUUCUGGCAAUAAACGCAGGAAUUGACCAAGUGACCAUUUUACACAAACUGUUAUCGGUGGAUAACUUCGCGAGUUUUUAUUGAAUUCACUCAAAUACAUGCUUAAAAUAAUCGCUGUAUGUUCCUUUUUCAAAUAAACUUUGAUUGGAUAAAUUUCGAUACAAUACAAUGGCAAGAACUGCGAAAAACCUCAUUUUUGUAAUACAAUCUACAUAUCUUUUGCCCUGUUGACGCCGCCAUAUUGAAUAAUCAUGAUGGCCCAACGCGCACACAUAUAAUAUGUACGUACCUAUGACUACUACAUCUAUGGUAAAAAUAGAUAUUUUAAUAUGGCACAAAGCUCAAAUUUAAACACGGUAAACAAUUACAGACUUGCAUUGUCAUGUUAUAUCGCAAGCUAAGCAAAGAA